rnacentral:rRNA from 1 species
GACCUUCGGGUCUAGUGGCGCACGGGUGCGUAACGCGUGGGAAUCUGCCCUUGGGUUCGGGAUAACAGUUGGAAACGACUGCUAAUACCGGAUGAUGUCUUCGGACCAAAGAUUUAUCGCCCAGGGAUGAGCCCGCGUCGGAUUAGCUAGUUGGUGAGGUAAGAGCUCACCAAGGCGACGAUCCGUAGCUGGUCUGAGAGGAUGAUCAGCCACACUGGGACUGAGACACGGCCCAGACUCCUACGGGAGGCAGCAGUGGGGAAUAUUGGACAAUGGGCGAAAGCCUGAUCCAGCAAUGCCGCGUGAGUGAUGAAGGCCUUAGGG